CUGCAGAAAAAUAAAAAGUUAAAAUAAUGAAAAAGUCCACUCCUGACUAUAUUGUCAAAAUAAUUGGAAUCAGGAUAUCAAAGAGAUAUUUGCAUAUCCUUAAAACAGCAUUCUUCACAAUGCCCAAGAGGUACAAACAGCCCAAAUGUCCAUAGAGAGAGGAAUAGAUUAAAAAAUGUCAUAUAUCCAUGCAGCAGAAUUAUUAUUCAGCCUUAAAAGAAGAAAAUCCUUUUAUGCUUACAACAUGGAUGAGAUUUGAGGACAUAAUGCUGAGUGAAAUAAACCCAGUCACAAAAAGACAUCUGUGUGAGUAUGAAUCCACUCAUGUGGUGUUUAAAAGAGUAAAAAUUACAAUAAUAGGCUGAGGACAUAGAUCAGUAGAUAGAGUGCUUGCCUUGCAUGCACAAGGCCCUGGGUUCAAUCCCCAGCACCACCAAAAAAAAGAAAAAGAAAAAUUACAGGAACAGAAAAUAGGAUAGUAGUUGUCAGGGACUAGAGGGAGGGAGAAAUUAGUUGGUUGAUGGGUAGAGUUUGCUUGUUUGUUUGUUUUGCUACUGGAGAUUGAACCUAGGGGCACUCAACAACUGAGCCACGUUCCCAGCCCUUUUUAUUUUUUAUAUUGAGACAGGAUCUUGCUAAAUUGCUGAGUCUGCUCUCAAACUUGAACUUCUGUCUCAAACUCUCAAGUUGCUGGGAUUACAAGUGUGCACCACCACGCCCAGCCCCAGCCCUUUUUUGAAAAUUUCGAGACAGGGUCUCACUAAAUUGGUUAGGGCCUAAAUUGCUGAGGCCGUCCUCCUGCCUCAUUCUCCCGAGUUUCUGGGAUUACUGGCAUGAGCCACCAUACCCCAACAUGCCCCACCCAGCCAAGAUUUUGAGUUUAGCACGAUGAAAAUAGAGCUCUGUUACAUAAUAAUAUGCAUAUAAUCAAGACUACUGAACUAUCCACUUAGAAAUCAUCAAGAGGGCCAGGCAUGGUGGCACACGCCUGUAAUUCCAGGAGGAAUUCCAGGAGGAAUUGGGAGGCUGAGGAAGAGGAUCUCAAAAUCGAGGCCAGCCUCAGCAAUUUACUGAGGCCCUCAGCAACUUAGUAAGACCUUGUUCUCAAAAUGAAAAAUAAAAAGGAUCAAGGAUGUGCCUCAGUGGUAAAAGACCACUGGGAUCAAUGUCUAACACCAAAAAAAAAAAAAAAAAUCUGGUUUAUUUUAUUUAUAUAUAUAUAUAUAUAUAUAUACAUUUCAUAUAAAUAUAUAGUUAAUAUAAAUAUAUAAAACCAAAGGGUAAAUUUUAUAUGGUAUUUUACUACAAUUAAUUUUUUAAAGACUUAAAGGGGAAAAAAAAAACAAGGGAG
rnacentral:lncRNA from 1 species